rnacentral:lncRNA from 1 species
UGACGCCAUGGUUUCUGAUCUCGUUGAUGUUUGAUAUGGUCAGAAUGUCAGCAAAUAAAAUGGAACACAGAUUUAAAGCCUCUAAUCAAACAUAUUAUUUUUGGAAUAACAAUUAUACGACAUUUUCUAGGCCUUUGGCAACUCUGCAAGACUUGAAGAUGUGAGAUCCAGUGUCUGUAGGUUGUAAAGGAAACGUAAUGAUCCAGGGAACCCUGACCCAUAAUCAAUGUACAAAUAGCGCAGGUGUUUCAGAUUGCCAAUUGAAUCUAUCAAUUCGUAACGGCUACCCAGUCCAAUUCCAAAGCCCUUAAUCACUGCAUAUUUCAAAGCACUUCAUAAGGAGAUAAAAACUAAUAUUAAUAUGCCUAUAGGCUGUUUAUCGAGAUCAUAAAUACUAAAAAUACUCCAUGUAGACAACAUAUAUAACUACAUUAAAAGCCUGUAGACAUUUCUUUACCAGAUAAAUAUGCCCACA